AUAUAUUUUGCAGGUUCUACUACAGCAAAGCAGCAAGCUGCUACAUGUCUCUUGUAACUGUGGGUACAGAGGAAUUUACAAUCUUGGAAGAUGCUGUUGGACUUUGAAUUACCUGUCUCUAGGGAAGGAAGCCAGUUAAAAAACAGUGGCUCUUGAUUCAUCUUUCACACAAAUAUUAUGAUGUUACUCCAGGGUCCUAGGAUGAAUAAUAUCAAAUAAACCUCCAAGAUUUUAAGAUGCUUUUGUGUGAGGAUAGAUAAGAUUUGAGGUGUGUGCCAUACCUGAUGAUGUGCAUGAUGACGUGCCACGUAAUAGAAGCUGGGUUUCAAGUUUCUUCUGUUGCUGACAUUGGACUGCCUACUGAGCAAUGUGGAGCUGGCUCUCUCUGUUAGCUCCAGAUGGAAGCAAACGCUUGUGGCAUUCAAACCUGCAAAGCCCA
rnacentral:lncRNA from 1 species